UACGAGAGGCCCAAACGUUAUUCGGAUUUACUGGGCGUAAAGGGCGCGUAGGCGGCCACCGCAAGUCGACUGUGAAAUCUCCGGGCUUAACCCGGAACGGUCAGCCGAUACUGCGGGGCUAGAGUGCAGAAGGGGCAACUGGAAUUCUCGGUGUAGCGGUGAAAUGCGUAGACAUCGAGAGGAACACCUGCGGCGAAGGCGGGUUGCUGGGCUGACACUGACGCUGAGGCGCGAAAGCUAGGGGAGCGAACGGG
rnacentral:rRNA from 1 species